AGGGCCGCCCCUGGUCACUGACGUCACAGCAUGUUCCCCGCGUGCCAGCUGCCGACUGCAAGGCCAGCUAAAUGUUUCAGCUUCAGUCAAUCACGUCCGCAGAUUCUAAAACAAUUGGAGCCAAUCACGUUCGCACAGUCGAAAACAUUUCACCAAUCACGGCAGAAAUCCUGGAGAGCGACGUCAGGCACACGGCAGAAAUUCUGGAGGGCGACGUUACAUUGCUUACGCUAGACCUGAGGGGGCGGGUAAUUCAAAGAGUGAAGCUAGCCGGAUGCUUAAGGAAUCAACCGAGGCAGAUUAUCGACAUGGUGUCAAACCCCCGUAUCGGGGUGGAGUCGUUGCUGGUGACGGUCAUCAGAAAAGCACCAGCCCAGCAGAAGGGAGAGCCAGAGUCUGGCCGGGGAAGUGCUUCAGACUCUAGACAGAGAAGGCCUACAAGACAUAAAUGCAGUUGGAAAUUCCUCGUGGGGGAGAGCUGCGCGUCAUCGGAGUGCUACUUGGGAGCGUUCCUGGUGGAUGGACCAGCGCAGAACCGUCUCCACGCUUGAAAGUGACAAAGCGGGUCCCUGCCACACUGGCCGGUAGCGACUUGCUGUCUGGAUUGUAUACUGGAUUGGGAUGACUCCUCUUUGGUGUGGGUUGAUCUAUUGCAGUGUUUUUUUUUCUGUGGAUUCUAUAUGUGGGGCGUGGUUUAAGUAUUGCAAACUGAUAAUACCUUUUGGGGGGAAGGCAUGUAUCUUGCUUUUGUGUGGGGGUUUUCAUGUUAGACAUGGUUGGCCAUUAGUUGGCUUUAUGCCUAUCGCCUAGUGGGGUUCUAUGUACAGUGAAUCUGUGCCUACAGUCCUGUAUCCAGUCUGCUUGUGGCAAAUAAACAUUUGUAUAACCAUUUCUGAUUCUGAGUG
rnacentral:lncRNA from 1 species